rnacentral:ribozyme from 2 species
GUUUUAAUGCAGCCUGGGACGGUUACAAGCCCGUGAAAAUGCAGAGUAGAAC